UGAAAUUUUAUUAAAAGAAAAAGGGGUGAAAAGAACAAAGUUUUGUCCAUCUUUGUUCAUCAUAGCUGAAAGUUAGAGAAGAGAAAGUAGAGGAGAAAGCUCUUGAAUGUUCGGUCACUUGGGGAAGAAAAUUGAAGGUAAUCCCCAACCAUAGUGGGCUUGGAGCUGUGAGGGAAUUCGGAGUUGCCACCCGUUCUGAAAGUUUGAUUUUCUUUUGGUGAACUGGACAUCCUUUUAAUUACGUUUGAGGUUUUGGGCUUUUAAAUGUAAUAAGGCUGCUUAUUUAUUUUUGAUGGUUUUUAUAUAUUUUAUUAAGAUAGGUAAUAUUUAUAUUUAA